UACGGAGGGGACUAGCGUUGUUCGGAAUUACUGGGCGUAAAGCGCACGUAGGCGGAUUUGUAAGUCAGGGGUGAAAUCCCGGGGCUCAACCUCGGAACUGCCUUUGAUACUGCAAAUCUCGAGUCCGGAAGAGGUGAGUGGAAUUCCUAGUGUAGAGGUGAAAUUCGUAGAUAUUAGGAAGAACACCAGUGGCGAAGGCGGCUCACUGGUCCGGUACUGACGCUGAGGCGCGAUAGCAUGGGGAGCAAACAGG
rnacentral:rRNA from 1 species